UACGUAGGGUGCAAGCGUUGUCCGGAAUUAUUGGGCGUAAAGAGCUCGUAGGCGGCCUGUCGCGUCGGCUGUGAAAACCCGGGGCUCAACCCCGGGCCUGCAGUCGAUACGGGCAGGCUAGAGUCCGGCAGGGGAGACUGGAAUUCCUGGUGUAGCGGUGAAAUGCGCAGAUAUCAGGAGGAACACCGGUGGCGAAGGCGGGUCUCUGGGCCUGACCUGACGCUGAGGAGCGAAAGCGUGGGGAGCGAACAGG
rnacentral:rRNA from 1 species